UAGAAAGAAACCUACUGAAAGGGAUCACUACUGAUGAAAAUACUGCUGCACAUGAUUUUGCCACUCUUGGUGUUGUUAAUGUCAGAUACUGUGGGUAUAUAGUUGUGGUUAAACUUGAAGGGAAAGAAAGUAGCAAAAUGGAUACUCAUUUUCAAAGCAUUGAACUUCUUGAUCAGCCUGAAGGUGGUGCCAAUGCCCUUAAUAUUAACAGUUGAGGAAAUCUUACCAUUGGGUGGAUUAUUGGAUUGCGUUGACAAUUG